rnacentral:rRNA from 1 species
UGGGGAAUAUUGCACAAUGGGCGAAAGCCUGAUGCAGCGACGCCGCGUGAGGGAUGACGGCCUUCGGGUUGUAAACCUCGUUCAGUAGGGACGAAGCGCAAGUGACGGUACCUGCAGAAGAAGCACCGGCUAACUACGUGCCAGCAGCCGCGGUAAUACGUAGGGUGCGAGCGUUGUCCGGAAUUACUGGGCGUAAAGAGCUCGUAGGCGGUUUGUCACGUCGUCUGUGAAAUCCUAGGGCUUAACCCUGGACGUGCAGGCGAUACGGGCUGACUUGAGUACUACAGGGGAGACUGGAAUUUCUGGUGUAGCGGUGGAAUGCACAGAUAUCAGGAAGAACACCGAUGGCGAAGGCAGGUCUCUGGGUAGUAACUGACGCUGAGGAGCGAAAGCAUGGGUAGCGAACAGG